GAUGAACGCUGGCGGCGUGCCUAAUACAUGCAAGUCGAGCGAAGCGGGGACGGUUGAUUAACACGUGGAUAACCUCCUAUAAGACUGGGAUAACUUCGGAAAACCGGAGCUAAACCGUAACCUUAUAUAUGUAUCCGCGCUGCAUUAGCUAGUUGGUAAGGUAACGGCUUACCAAGGCAACGAUGCAUAGCCGACCUGAGAGGGUGAUCGGCCACACGGGAAAUGAGAAACGGUCCAGACUCCUACGUGAGGCAGCAGUAGGGAAUCUUCCGCAAUGGGCGAAAGCCUGACUGAGCAACGCGGCGUGAGUGAUGAAGGGCUUCGGAGCGUAAAACUCUGUGAUUAGGGAAUCGGUACCUAAUCAGAAAGCCACGGCUAACUACGUGCCAGCAGCCGCGGUAAUUC
rnacentral:rRNA from 1 species